UGGUAGGUAGCAUGACAUGUGAUUCUAGAAGCCCUCAGCACUGGGAAACAUUCAGGCUGUGCUGCUUUUAGCUUGAGAAGGGAUUUCACACAAGCAGAACAAACAUGGGUCUAAAUGGAGCGUGACCCAUCUGAGUUGGUGCUUUGAAGGAGCUGAAGUCAUUCACACUUGCAGGUGCCUGGCAGCAGGUGAGGAGCUGGGACUGGAGUGGGAAAGGCAGCACAGUUUAACACAGAAGCCAUCCCAGACAUCCCUGUUUGACCACCGGAGCGUGGAUCUGGCCAAGCAACAAGCUGCAAAUGGUUGACAAGGAUGCUGAAGCCACUGGGCUUUGCAAUUAGGGAAACUAAUUGCAAUAAUGGGAGAUGAAAUGCAAGGUCAGCCAGCAGCCAAGGAACAGCUCGUGGCCGUCGAUGGUUAUACCAACCACAGUCAACAUUAAAACUUUUUAUAGUGGUGUUGGGACUACGGCGCAGAAGAAUAAGAAAUCAGAGAAGGCAAAUGCAUAUAAAGUGCCUUGGAAAUCCCUCUGCCAUUGCAGUGUUACCUUCCUAACCGGGUCCUAACCCCUACCCAUGUCCCCUGAAAGAGCCAUUAUGCACGUUAUGUGUCAGCAAAGACCCGUAUUUGUUUUUUUCUCUUUGUCUCAGUACUUCAAAUAA